rnacentral:lncRNA from 1 species
CAUCCCAUCUGCAUUCAGACUUAAUGACCUAGCACAUAACUGCAAGUACCUGAAGGGCGAAGACGAAGUCUGGUUCAAAAUCAUCUUCCUAGCACCUACCACAGUACCUGGCACACACCUUGACUGGACUGAAUUCAAACUCCUGGGCACAUAAGCUGAAGUCUGCACAGACAGGGAGGGGACAUUCUCCAGGCCCUACUCUUCCUGUCAGGGCACCCCCUCCACAGGCACACUCAGAGCCAACUCGCCCCUGAACAAUGAAGCCAUUCUCCCUCCUGUUCCAAGAGCACUGCCUCACAGACAGCUCCGCAGUGGGGAUUGGAAUGGCGCCCAUCCUAUAAACUGAGACCCGC